GUACACUCCUGCGGGAGGCAGCAGUAGGGAAUCUUCCACAAUGGGUGCAAACCUGAUGGAGCAAUGCCGCGUGAGUGAAGAAGGUCUUCGGAUCGUAAAGCUCUGUUGUUAGAGAAGAACACGUGCUAGGUAACUACUAGCGCCUUGACGGUAUCUAACCAGAAAGUCACGGCUAACUACGUGCCAGCAGCCGCGGUAAUACGUAGGUGACAAGCGUUGUCCGGAUUUAUUGGGCGUAAAGGGAGCGCAGGCGGUCUGUUUAGUCUAAUGUGAAAGCCCACGGCUUAACCGUGGAACGGCAUUGGAAACUGACAGACUUGAAUGUAGAAGAGGAAAAUGGAAUUCCAAGUGUAGCGGUGGAAUGCGUAGAUAUUUGGAGGAACACCAGUGGCGAAGGCGAUUUUCUGGUCUAACAUUGACGCUGAGGCUCGAAAGCGUGGGGAGCGAACAGGAUUAGAUACCCUGGUAGUCC
rnacentral:rRNA from 1 species